rnacentral:rRNA from 1 species
UACAGAGGGUGCAAGCGUUACUCGGAGUUACUGGGCGUAAAGGGCGCGUAGGUGGUCAUUUAAGUUAGAUGUGAAAUCCCUGGGCUUAACCUAGGAACUGCAUCUAAUACUGGAUGACUGGAGUACUGUAGAGGGUAGUGGAAUUUCCGGUGUAGCGGUGAAAUGCGUAGAGAUCGGAAGGAACACCAGUGGCGAAGGCGGCUACCUGGACAGAUACUGACACUGAGGCGCGAAAGCCAGGGGAGCAAACGGG